rnacentral:rRNA from 1 species
GGUUAAGCGACUAAGCGUACACGGUGGAUGCCCUGGCAGUCAGAGGCGAUGAAGGACGUGCUAAUCUGCGAAAAGCGUCGGUAAGGUGAUAUGAACCGUUAUAACCGGCGAUGUCCGAAUGGGGAAACCCAGUGCAAUUCGUUGCACUAUCGUUAACUGAAUACAUAGGUUAACGAGGCGAACCGGGGGAACUGAAACAUCUAAGUACCCCGAGGAAAAGAAAUCAACCGAGAUUCCCCCAGUAGCGGCGAGCGAACGGGGAGCAGCCCAGAGUCUGAAUCAGCUUGUGUGUUAGUGGAACGGUCUGGAAAGUCCGACGGUACAGGGUGAUAGUCCCGUACACCAAAAUGCACAGGUUGUGAACUCGAAGAGUAGGGCGGGACACGUGGUAUCCUGUCUGAAUAUGGGGGGACCAUCCUCCAAGGCUAAAUACUCCUGACUGACCGAUAGUGAACCAGUACCGUGAGGGAAAGGCGAAAAGAACCCCGGCGAGGGGAGUGAAAAAGAACCUGAAACCGUGUACGUACAAGCAGUGGGAGCACCUUCGGGUGUGACUGCGUACCUUUUGUAUAAUGGGUCAGCGACUUAUAUUCUGUAGCAAGGUUAACCGUAUAGGGGAGCCGCAGGGAAACCGAGUCUUAACUGGGCGUUAAGUUGCAGGGUAUAGACCCGAAACCCGGUGAUCUAGCCAUGGGCAGGUUGAAGGUUGGGUAACACUAACUGGAGGACCGAACCGACUAAUGUUGAAAAAUUAGCGGAUGACUUGUGGCUGGGGGUGAAAGCCAAUCAAACCGGGAGAUAGCUGGUUCUCCCCGAAAGCUAUUUAGGUAGCGCCUCGUGAAUUCAUCUUCGGGGGUAGAGCACUGUUUCGGCUAGGGGGUCAUCCCGACUUACCAACCCGAUGCAAACUACGAAUACCGAAGAAUGUUAUCACGGGAGACACACGGCGGGUGCUAACGUCCGUCGUGAAGAGGGAAACAACCCAGACCGCCAGCUAAGGUCCCAAAGUCAUGGUUAAGUGGGAAACGAUGUGGGAAGGCACAGACAGCCAGGAUGUUGGCUUAGAAGCAGCCAUCAUUUAAAGAAAGCGUAAUAGCUCACUGGUCGAGUCGGCCUGCGCGGAAGAUGUAACGGGGCUAAACCAUGCACCGAAGCUGCGGCAGCGACACUAUGUGUUGUUGGGUAGGGGAGCGUUCUGUAAGCCUGCGAAGGUGACCUGUGAGGGUUGCUGGAGGUAUCAGAAGUGCGAAUGCUGACAUAAGUAACGAUAAAGCGGGUGAAAAGCCCGCUCGCCGGAAGACCAAGGGUUCCUGUCCAACGUUAAUCGGGGCAGGGUGAGUCGACCCCUAAGGCGAGGCCGAAAGGCGUAGUCGAUGGGAAACAGGUUAAUAUUCCUGUACUUGGUGUUACUGCGAAGGGGGGACGGAGAAGGCUAUGUUAGCCGGGCGACGGUUGUCCCGGUUUAAGCAUGUAGGCUGGUUGUCCAGGCAAAUCCGGAUAAUCAAGGCUGAGGUGUGAUGACGAGGCACUACGGUGCUGAAGUAACAAAUGCCCUGCUUCCAGGAAAAGCCUCUAAGCAUCAGGUAACAUUAAAUCGUACCCCAAACCGACACAGGUGGUCAGGUAGAGAAUACCAAGGCGCUUGAGAGAACUCGGGUGAAGGAACUAGGCAAAAUGGUGCCGUAACUUCGGGAGAAGGCACGCUGGUGUGUAGGUGAAGUCCCUGCGGAUGGAGCUGAGACCAGUCGAAGAUACCAGCUGGCUGCAACUGUUUAUUAAAAACACAGCACUGUGCAAACACGAAAGUGGACGUAUACGGUGUGACGCCUGCCCGGUGCCGGAAGGUUAAUUGAUGGGGUUAUCCGUAAGGAGAAGCUCUUGAUCGAAGCCCCGGUAAACGGCGGCCGUAACUAUAACGGUCCUAAGGUAGCGAAAUUCCUUGUCGGGUAAGUUCCGACCUGCACGAAUGGCGUAAUGAUGGCCAGGCUGUCUCCACCCGAGACUCAGUGAAAUUGAACUCGCUGUGAAGAUGCAGUGUACCCGCGGCAAGACGGAAAGACCCCGUGAACCUUUACUAUAGCUUGACACUGAACAUUGAGCCUUGAUGUGUAGGAUAGGUGGGAGGCUUUGAAGCGUGGACGCCAGUCUGCGUGGAGCCAACCUUGAAAUACCACCCUUUAAUGUUUGAUGUUCUAACGUUGGCCCCUUACCGGGGUUGCGGACAGUGUCUGGUGGGUAGUUUGACUGGGGCGGUCUCCUCCCAAAGCGUAACGGAGGAGCACGAAGGUUAGCUAAUCCUGGUCGGACAUCAGGAGGUUAGUGCAAUGGCAUAAGCUAGCUUGACUGCGAGCGUGACGGCGCGAGCAGGUGCGAAAGCAGGUCAUAGUGAUCCGGUGGUUCUGAAUGGAAGGGCCAUCGCUCAACGGAUAAAAGGUACUCCGGGGAUAACAGGCUGAUACCGCCCAAGAGUUCAUAUCGACGGCGGUGUUUGGCACCUCGAUGUCGGCUCAUCACAUCCUGGGGCUGAAGUAGGUCCCAAGGGUAUGGCUGUUCGCCAUUUAAAGUGGUACGCGAGCUGGGUUUAGAACGUCGUGAGACAGUUCGGUCCCUAUCUGCCGUGGGCGCUGGAGAAUUGAGGGGGGCUGCUCCUAGUACGAGAGGACCGGAGUGGACGCAUCACUGGUGUUCGGGUUGUCAUGCCAAUGGCACUGCCCGGUAGCUAAAUGCGGAAGAGAUAAGUGCUGAAAGCAUCUAAGCACGAAACUUGCCCCGAGAUGAGUUCUCCCUGAGACUUUAAGUCUCCUGAAGGAACGUUAAAGACGAUGACGUUGAUAGGCCGGGUGUGUAAGCGCAGCGAUGCGUUGAGCUAACCGGUACUAAUGAACCGUGAGGCUUAACCUUAC